GAUGAACGCUGGCGGCGUGCCUAAUACAUGCAAGUCGAGCGAACAGAUGAGGAGCUUGCUCCUCUGACGUUAGCGGCGGACGGGGGAGUAACACGUGGAUAACCUACCUAUAAGACUGGGAUAACUUCGGGAAACCGGAGCUAAUACCGUAUAAUAUAUUUAACCGCAUGGUUCAAUAGUGAAAGACGGUUUUGCUGUCACUUAUAGAUGGAUCCGCGCCGCAUUAGCUAGUUGGUAAGGUAACGGCUUACCAAGGCAACGAUGCGUAGCCGACCUGAGAGGGUGAUCGGCCACACUGGAACUGAGACACGGUCCAGACUCCUACGGGAGGCAGCAGUAGGGAAUCUUCCGCAAUGGGCGAAAGCUUGACGGAGCAACGCCGCGUGAGUGAUGAAGGUCUUCGGAUCGUAAAACUCUGUUAUUAGGGAAGAACAAAUGUGUAAGUAACUAUGCACGUCUUGACGGUACCUAAUCAGAAAGCCACGGCUAACUACGUG
rnacentral:rRNA from 1 species